AAGUAAGAAGCGAUAAUUUGCAACCAGUUUCGACCUGGUACUAGAUGGGUUUCAUCCUUA
rnacentral:tRNA from 1 species